GAAAGAAUUAUUUGAUCAAAUUAUGGGGAAAGGUUUUUAAGUGAAAAUAGAUGUAAAAUUUUAAAUAGGGGUUUCGUUUAAAAAAAGUGAAUUUUUAUUUUCAGUGUUAAAGGUUAAUAAAAUUAUUGGGGGGUAGUUUUAAUUAAUUUAUAGAUAUUGAGGUGAAUAAAAAUGUGCCAGCAUUCGCGGUUAUACAUUGUCCUUAAAUUUUUUAUGUUAGAGGAAAGAAUAGUACAGAUUUAUUUAAUUAUUUUAAUGGGGGUAAAAUAAAUUAAAAUAGAUAUUGGGGUAUGAAUUCUUUAAAAUUUUGGGGUUAAACUAGGAUUAGAUACCCUAUUAUUCAAAUUUAAUGUUCACUUUUUGGUAUUUUAGUUACAUAAAAAAUUAGAUUGAUUUGGCGGUUUAUUAAUCUUUUUAGAGGAAUCUGUAGGUUAAAUUGAUAAUCCACGAUAAAUUAUACCUGAAAUUAUUUUUCUUGUAUAUCUCUAUACAUUGAAUAUAUUUAAAGAUUAAAUUUUCUUAUUUUAAAUUGUAAAUUUAAUUUAGGUCAAGGUGCAGUUAUUUUUAGGGUUUAAUGGAUUACAUUUAUUUUUGUUAGUGUUCAACUAUUUUUAUAAAUUUUUUAAAAUUGGAUUUAAAAGUAAUUUUUUUUUUUAAAAGAAUUGAAUUAUGCUCUGAUUUAUGUACAUAUCGCCCGUCAUUCUCUUUAUAACGAGACAAGUCGUAACAAAGUAGAUGUAUUGGAAAAUGUAUCUAG
rnacentral:ncRNA from 1 species